AGGUCCUACGGGGCGCAGCAGUGAGGAAUAUUGGUCAAUGGGCGGGAGCCUGAACCAGCCAAGUCGCGUGAGGGAAGACGGUCCUAUGGAUUGUAAACCUCUUUUGUCGGGGAGCAAAGAGGCCACGUGUGGUCAAAAGCGAGAGUACCCGAAGAAAAAGCAUCGGCUAACUCCGUGCCAGCAGCCGCGGUAAUACGGAGGAUGCGAGCGUUAUCCGGAUUUAUUGGGUUUAAAGGGUGCGCAGGAGGGAGAUCAAGUCAGCGGUAAAAUGUCGGGGCUCAACCCCGGCCGGCCGUUGAAACUGG
rnacentral:rRNA from 1 species